rnacentral:miRNA from 1 species
AAGUGCAUGAGCUGUCACAGCUCAACCUUUGGCACAAGAACUCUGUUCUCUUAAGCCUUCCUUUGCCUGUGUUGGAGAAGAAAGAUCUAGAAGGUUGCACAGAGUUCUUGUGCCAAAGGUUGAGCUGUGACAGCUCAUGCACUU